rnacentral:tRNA from 1 species
AGGCGCUGGCCGGCUAGGGGUGGACGGACUCUUAAUCCGUUGGUCGAGUGUUCGAGUCACUCAGGGCCCA